rnacentral:rRNA from 1 species
CACAUGCAAGUCGAACGAGAACGGGUUAUAGCUUGCUAUAACUGUCAGCUAAGUGGCGCACGGGUGAGUAAUGUAUAGUUAACCUGCCCUCUAGAAAGGAAUAACAGUUGGAAACGACUGCUAAUGCCCUAUAUGCCUUUAAGACAUAAGUCUGCAAGGGAAACGCUUUAGUGCUAGAGGAUGGGACUGUAUGGUAUCAGCUAGUUGGUGAGGUAAAGGCUCACCAAGGCAAUGACGCCUAACUGGUUUGAGAGGAUGAUCAGUCACACUGGAACUGAGACACGGUCCAGACUCCUACGGGAGGCAGCAGUGGGGAAUAUUGCACAAUGGAGGAAACUCUGAUGCAGCAACGCCGCGUGGAGGAUGACACUUUUCGGAGCGUAAACUCCUUUUAUAUA